CCCCUUCUGGCCAAUCAGCAGAGAGGAAAGUCAGGACCAAGUCUGGUUGCUUAGAGACCUCCGGAAAAGCCCACCUGUACUAAGAAAAGCUGUUUCCUUCCAGGCUCCACGCAAGAAUAACAAAGAAAGGAAGCAGAUCUCACAAAUGCUCAGAGUAAGAUGAAUGGCAGCAGCAGCUGAGCAAUGGCUCCCAGAUCACCUCCAUGCACUACAAGACCAGGCUGUGCCAAGCAUUCAAGAAGAGCAGCACGUGCAAGUGGAAGACAUUCACAUACAGAGAGGCUAAACUGCCAACCACAUAACAGAGCAUUUCAGGAGUGUCCCUGCUGUCUCCUCCUUGGACUUCUGGCUUUUGCACUCUGUUCCUCAGACCUGCACUC